rnacentral:rRNA from 1 species
UACGAAGGGGGCUAGCGUUGCUCGGAAUCACUGGGCGUAAAGCGCACGUAGGCGGAUUGCUAAGUCAGGGGUGAAAUCCUGGAGCUCAACUCCAGAACUGCCUUUGAUACUGGCGACCUUGAGUCCGGGAGAGGUGAGUGGAACUGCGAGUGUAGAGGUGAAAUUCGUAGAUAUUCGCAAGAACACCAGUGGCGAAGGCGGCU